CCUACGGGAGGCAGCAGUGAGGAAUAUUGGGCAAUGGACGAAAGCCUGACCCAGCAAAGUAGCGUGAAGGAAGAAUGCUUUAGGGUUGUUAACUUCUUUUGACAUGGGAGAGAAGCAGACGGUACCUGUCGAAUAAGCCAUGGCUAACUACGUGCCAGCAGCCGCGGUAAUACGUAGGUGGCCAGCGUUAUCCGGAUUUACUGGGUGUAAAGGGCGUGUAGCCGGGCUGACAAGUCAGAUGUGAAAUCCGGGGGCUCAACCCUCGAACUGCAUUUGAAACUGUUGGUCUUGAGUAUCGGAGAGGCAGGCGGAAUUCGUAGUGUAGCGGUGAAAUGCGUAGAUAUUAGGAGGAACACCAGUGGCGAAGGCGGCCUGCUGGACGACAACUGACGGUGAGGCGCGAAAGCGUGGGGAGCAAACAGGAGUAGAUACCCCUGUAGUC
rnacentral:rRNA from 1 species